GACGAACGCUGGCGGCGUGCCUAACACAUGCAAGUCGAACGGAAAGGCCCUGCUUUUGUGGGGUGCUCGAGUUGCGAACGGGUGAGUAACACGUGAGUAACCUGCCCUUCACUUUGGGAUAACCUCAGGAAACUGGGGCUAAUACCGGAUAGGAGCUCCUGCUGCAUGGUGGGCGUUGGUAAGUUUCGGCGGUUGGGGAUGGACUCGCGGCCUAUCAGCUUGUUGGUGGGGUAGUGGCAUACCAAGGCUUUGACGGGUAGCCGGCCUGAGAGGGUGACCUGCCACAUUACGACUGAGAUACGACACAGACUCCUACGGGAGGCAGCAGUGGAGAAUAUUGCACAAUGGGCGGGAGCCUGAUGCGGCAACGCCGCGUGCGGGAUGACGGCCUUCGGGUUGUAAACCGCUUUCGCCUGUGACGAAGCGUGAGUGACGGUAAUGGGUAAAGAAGCACCGGCUAACUACGUG
rnacentral:rRNA from 1 species